GUCUUUGUGGUGUAACGGUUAGCACACUCGGCGCGUAACCGAGAGGUCCAGGUUCGAGUUCCAGCGAGGGCA
rfam:Stegodyphus mimosarum contig97844, whole genome shotgun sequence.